rnacentral:rRNA from 1 species
CAGUAGCCGCGGGAAAACGUAGGGUGCGAGCGUUAAUCGGAAUUACUGGGCGUAAAGCGGGCGCAGACGGUUACCUAAGCAGGAUGUGAAAUCCCCGGGCUCAACCUGGGAAUUGCGUUCUGAACUGGGUGGCUAGAGUGUGUCAGAGGGGGGUAGAAUUCCACGUGUAGCAGUGAAAUGCGUAGAGAUGUGGAGGAAUACCGAUGGCGAAGGCAGCCCCCUGGGAUAGCACUGACGUUCAUGCCCGAAAGCGUGGGUAGCAAACAGGAUUAGAUACCCCUGUAGUCCCUGUCUCUUAUAC